rnacentral:rRNA from 1 species
GACGAACGCUGGCGGCGUGCCUAAUACAUGCAAGUCGACCUUAGUUGCGUACGGGUGAGUAACAUGUGGGUAGCCUGCCCAUCAGUAGGGGCAACCACUUGGAAUCAGGUGUUAAUACCGUUUACUGAUGGCUGGACUCGCGGUUCAUUAGCUAGUUGGUGAGGUAACGGCUCACCAAGGCCACGAUGCAUAGCCGACCUGAGAGGGUGAUCGGCCACAUUGGGACUGAGACACGGCCCAGACUCCUACGGGAGGCAGCAGUAGGGAAUCUUCGGCAAUGGACGAAAGUCUGACCGAGCAACGCCGCGUGAGUGAAGAAGGUUUUCGGAUCGUAAAACUCUGUUGUUAGAGAAGCGGUAUCUAACCAGAAAGCCACGGCUAACUACGUGCCAGCAGCCGCGGUAAUUC